GGGUCACUGUCAUUUUGGCAUUUCUGUUGCCAGGGUUGGAAGAGGCCGCUGGUUAGUGGGCCCCUUGCCCGAGGGUGUAGGCUCCUAAAACUCCCCUGACAUUUUCACCGCGUUCGUCCUCUCCCGAACCCCCCACCCCCGCCCACGGGGGCUGAAAGUCGCAGGACUUUUGAUGGCCCCUAUGUGUCUGGGCUGGGGUGGGGAUGGGAGGGCCGGUGUAGACGGGCCACCCCUUUACGGCUGGGGGUGAUGAAGCGGGACCCGCCGCAAGAGUUGAGGGGCCCAGUGCAAAAUGAAAAUGCCAGGUUCCUUGUGCAUGAGUUAUUAGGAACUCCAAAACGGUGAAAAGCAGAGCAUCAGACCCAGCGCCGGCCCCUGCGACCCCACAGGUCGUGGCCCGUGAACCUGUCGCUGUGCUUCCGGGACUGUGGGCCCCGAUCAGAUGCUGGAACCCUCCAUUACGAAGGGCUCCUGUGUGGUCUCGCUUUUUAGUUUUCAUUGUCAGUGCCGUUUGCCCUCCCCAGUGCCUUUGGAUGGAUCUUCGUCACCGUCCUAGGAUUGCUCACCAUCCUCAAGCUGGAAAACCCACUGAAGAUCAGGCAUCUCUAAGUGCUGAGCUGAACAUGGCUGAAGGCUGGGGCUGUCUUUUUCCCUGGCGUCUUCCUCUGAAGCUGGCAGAAUGAUGGACAGAUGGUACUGAUUGUAUGAAAGCAACCCCUUCAGCCAAUUCCUGUCUUCCUGGGAAGACCCCUGGAAGAAACAGGCCUCUUGAGCACUUGAUGCAGAUGACCACGAGUGGAUAGCCACCAGCAGGAGGAUGGAUUCAUGAAAGCUCAACGUUUCCUGCUAAUCCAUGAACCAUAAUGACUCCCAGGAUGCCCUAUGAUAAGUAUAUCCCACCUGUUUCCAAACCUCUGUCAGUGCAGAACAAGGCUGCCGCGAAUUAGGCCUGAAAUUACACUCACAGCUGUGUUUUGGUUUUUCUCUAGGGAAUGCUUUGCUGGUCUUCCAGCCUUCUGUCUGCCCUUGCUCUAAAGGAUGGGUUCUCCGAGUGCAAGCUUUGGCCAAGUUCCCACACAUACUCCAUGUAGAAAAGAGGCUGGUGCCCCCUCUGCUGCAUGCCACAUUUAUUUAUUUGAGAGAGAGAGAGAAUCUCGAGCCGACUCCCUGCAGAGCGUGGAGCCUAAAGCAGCGCUUGAUUCCAUGACCCUCAGAGGGUGACCGGAACAGGGGGCUGGAUCCCAAGACCCUGAGAUCAUGACGUGAGCC